CCAAGUCGGAGAGGCGCUCUCUCCGCUCUGCGACCUUACUGAUGCUGUUGCUGCCGGCUGCCAGCGCCUGUCAUUCUGACAGGCAGCAGUUGCGCCGGCAGCAUGAAGACCAGCUCCCCCUUCCUUGCCUCUUUACUAACGGCCAGGGGCAUCAGAACGGGGGGUGGGCAAGGGGGCUGCGGGGAGGAGUGAUCAGGGCCGGCCGGCCAAUAUCGCAACCUACGCAUUUGCGUAUGACGCCAUCUCCCACCGCAGCUAUCUGCUGCCUGCGUGCGCCUCCUGGUCACAACAUCUUGUAGAGGCAUGGCUGUCUGCUGCUGCAUGCCCCUCCCGUGUCCCAGUGUCUGUCCCCUCUGCUCUGCUUCCCCCUUCACCCCCCCACCUCUUCCUAGGCAAAAGCAAUCCAUCACGAAUGGCCAGUGCAUGUAAACAGUGCGGCGCAGUUCUCAGUGAUCAGCAGCUUUGGCCUGAUCUCCUACUUGUCUGGUGCACGCUGCUCCUGGGAGUCUUUGUGUCCUCUACUCCGCUCCCCACACCCAGCCAUGGCCAGCGCCUGCUGCAAUAAGUGCAGGGACAGCCGCAGGGGAGAGAAGGAGGAGGAGGAGCAGCACCAAGACGUUGGGCGAUGGCGUGUGGCUCAACACAUGGCUGUCCGCCCACCCAUCUGCAGCAGCCUGCCUGAGUCCCUGGCCGUGAUGAGACACAUCACCCAGGCAGUCCCGGAUCCCGGCCCCUAGCAGCAGGGCCAGCUGCAGCAUCAGCAGCCUGAAUGAGCUCACUAUCAACAUGGAAAGGAGAUCUGCCAGGGAUGUGUUCAUAUGUUGUAAUGGUAACGGGCACUGCCGGAUAACGCAAUCAGUUUUGACAUCACCGGGAUGCGCGGAAGGAGGCGGGCGGGUGUUCCGACUUCCGGACGCUAUACUGCUCCUGGGUGAUUACACUUGGUAUUUAGAUGUAACGCUGAUGACGGGUGCAAAGGGUGCAAUGUCAUUGCCCCACACCUGCCGCCUGGAGACGCGGCUAUGGUGGUGAGGGGGAGCACCUAUAUAUGGUAUGUUCAAAUCUCACCCUGUAAUCUGCUAUUGCAAUCUGAACCUCAGCAAAACAUCUCUAUUCUAAAUGUAUGUUCAAAUAUCACCCUGUAAUCUGCUAUCGCAAUCUGAACCUCAGUAAAACAUCUGUAUUCUAAAUGUAUGUUCAAAUAUCACCCUGUAAUCUGCUAUUGCAAUCUGAACCUCAGCAAAACAUCUUUAUUCUAAAUGUAUGUUCAAAUCUCUUGUUAGAGAGUUUUGUGAUUUCUGGCUUUGUGUGUAAUUUAAAAUACCUGUGUUUCAAAGUUUGGUCAGUGCCGCAUAUUUAAUCAAGGCAGACUGGGCUGGUGUUUGCUUAGUCAAACACUGGGUAAUUUAGCUCCUUUGAUUAGUGGGACAUUUGCCUCAGCUGUAGUUGUGUCAAUUUACCAUAGUAUAUCUGUAGCUUCAGCCAUGCACAGCUGUGCGUGUCAGCUGUGCGUUCCAAUACUCAAAGCGUUCCUAUCUCUAAGCGUUUUGAAAAUUAACAGUUAAAAAAAACAGCUGAACAAACAUUGAACAACAUCAAGAAAGAAAUCCAGAACAUUAUGUGGAGUCAUCAAACCUCUGAAAUGAAAUCACCAGGAUUAUGCCCACUAACUCUCUGGCAGAGAACAUCAGUAGUGCCUUACAGGCCUACCCCUCAAAGGAUGGACUACUCCACCCAGGGUAAUCCUACGCAGUGCACCGAAGAUGGCUGCUGCACCUGGUACCCUGUGAGGGUGGUAUACACAGCCCAUGGAAGUUAUUACCCAAAAUGCCUACACCAAUCAUGCAUUAUUCUUUCUGUGUCUUUUUUUGUCUGUGUGGUUUAUCUUUUGAUGUGUAAUACUUAAAUCUUCUGUAUUAUGUGCAUUGUUUGAGUUCUAGUUGGCGCCGCAGAUGACUGCCUCGGUGCUGCUUUGCCAAGCAGCUUUCGUUUUUAGUCUUACAUGUAUAAUAUGUCAGGUCUAUUGUACAGUUGCAAUGUGCAGUAUGAACUCAUAUGUGUAAUGUUUGUAAUGUGUGCUAUGUUUUUCCCCCCUCUUAUGCCAUGUACUCCCCCUUCAUGUUGCUGCUUGGCGAUGCAUUGUACCACAAAGAACUCCUAGUGUACGUGAGUACACCUGGCCAAUAAAGCUGAUUCUGAUACAUGUGAUCCACCAUAUGAAUUGGUCUGUUAUUUUAGCUUCCACUAUAUAA